UUCCCACUCUGUUGCGAGUUGAUUCGACCCGAGCGAGAGACCCGACACCGACACCGCACGUUUGCUAUUUUACCCUUUCUUUUUUUCUAUUCUCACACGACAUUUUAUCUUUGCGAUCACCUUGUUCGCGACGGUACAAAAUGUAUCCGAUGUAUCUGCGAGAACCGUAGCUACGUACUAUUUCCCGUCAAACACCGAUAGAACAGCCAUUUUUCGAUUUUGUACCACUACAGUCGUAAUACUUGUAAACGCCGCAAGAUAGCGACCUGAAUGCUCGAUCGAUCUCUGUCUCUAUCGUCCUCUCUUUUCUCACUAUCCUUUCAAAUAUUUCAGGGUUUAAUCAGUGAGUGACCAUGUGAACUGUGAACGUUCUACUACUUACGUGACCGAUAUACCAGAGGACAUGCAUAUGCAUACUCGUAUUUGUUUCUUUCUUUCUUUCUAAUUUUACGCAUUGUUGUAUAAUUGUGCAUCGUACUGUAGAUUAUAUGUACAUUAUAGAUACAUGUAUUCGGUGAAUUUUACUCUACGUCGUUCGCAUUGUUCCAACAGAAAACAUUUGAACUAUUUUCUUUCGCGAUAAGUCUCGCGACGCGUACAAAAAUAUACGAUAGUUUGGAAUUAUUCAUUCUCGAAACGAAGAAAUACAGCUCAGAGAUUAAUAACUUCUUACAGAAUCGAAACGCGCUCGUAAGGCAGUAUAGUAAAUACACAUAUACGUGUGUAAAUACAUAAAUUUUCUUUGCAAAUUGAGGUUAUGCGCCGACCUACUGCCCUUCGAAUUAAUCAAAUCUGAAAAUGAUCGCUCUCGCGGUAUUACUUCUGACAGCAGAUUAAUAUCGAGUCUAUGAAAGUAAUAGAAAUCGAGAAUUUAAAAAUCUCUCUCGAACUUGUUCGGUCUCGCGUACGCGUACGCGCGCGUACAUAUAUAAUACGUAUAUGCACGCGUCGAUACGAUCGAAAGAGAAAGAUCGUUCGUACAAAUUUUCCUACAUCGAUUCCUGUUACAAGCUCGUGCUUUGUAAUAUUUCAAAUUUUGUCGAUUAGUAAAUAAUAAUUAACAAUAGCAGUAGCGGUAAAUAAUAACGUUUAUUAGUAAUGAUAGCAACGAUUAACAAUAAAGUGAUCGAUCGUUGAAUAAAUGUUGCGUCGCGUUACGCCUGGUGCGAUGCGAUUUUGAAUAUCCCGCGUAACGCGCUGCGGUGCUAGACACGAUUCGAAGUCCGUACCGUGAAGUGCCCGGCCCAAGUUUAAUGAUUAUUCUCGCGCUCGACGCUCGUGGUUUACCGUUGUCGUUAAUAUUUCGCAGGAAACUUUCUCCACGACAUAUACUACUUACGCUAUUCCACCUUCGUGCGGUAGAAAUAAAAGUAAAUUCGACCAAGACGGUAUAUGUAUCUGUAUCCCCUACCCGCGAAAAACGAUGUAUUUAUGAGAAAUUUUUAUCGUAGUCAUAUUUGUACCACCUUAUAAUCUACAGUACGGUAUUACCGAAUGAUGUUGCUUUUAAUAGGUGGUGCUUAAAUAAUUCUGUUAUACCGAACAUGCGAAAAUGUCACGUUACCGAAUCACGUCGAAAUCUACAUCGCGCGUUAAUUUGUACGAUAAAACGCGUGAACCGAUAUUGCGGAGUGCGAACGGAGCGAAUGAUUUUAUAAUAUAUGGCGAGCGUCUCGAAGCAUGUAUUAAUCACAGAUCUUGAAUGUGUUGACGCAAUAAAAGUACUAUGUGUACAGCUUAGUUAGAACACAUUUAGAAUGCAGACUGGUACUAUCUAGUCACCGACGAUACUUCGAAGCGUGGGACACUUCUAAAAGGAUAGAACUACGAUUCUCUCAUAAAUUUUUGGCCAAUUAUACGUACAUUACGGAGCAGAAACUUUCGGGCAGAUUACACGGUACCAAAGACAAGUCUCGCUUGGAAAUGGCAAAGAAUACCGUUGCAUGCUACCUAUAAAAUAUGUAUAUGGGCAAUGCAUAACCUUCGUUCAGAAAUAUAAUUCGUAACGUACGCAUGCUGUUACUUUGUCACAAUACGAAUAUAGAGCGAAUACGAAAAGCUAAAUCGAAAACCUUAUUUACAAAUAGCACCUGAUCGACGCGUUUUCGUGCUGCCUCGCAAAUUUUGGUUCGUAUGGGAUUUUACCCCGUUGAAAGCAAAAUAAAUUCUUAUAUGUAUAUACA